rnacentral:rRNA from 1 species
UACGAAGGGGGCUAGCGUUGUUCGGAAUUACUGGGCGUAAAGCGCACGCAGGCGGAUUGAUAAGUCAGGGGUGAAAUCCCACGGCUCAACCGUGGAACUGCUUGGUAUACUGCGGGUCUUGAGCCAUCUAGGGGCAACCGGAACAAACGGUGGAGCGGUGAAAUGCGUAGAUAUCGAGAGGAACACCAGUGGCGAAGGCGGGUCCCUGGACAACACCUGACACUGAGGCACGAAAGCUAGGGGAGCAAACAGG